CAUGAAUUCAGCCACUAAUGCAAUCCAGUGACCUUCCAUCAAGUAAGUUAUUUUGAUUUAUCAGUGUCUUUACACUAUUAACUUGCAAAGAUUAAGAAACACAGGUAGGAAAAUUUGUACUUCUGAAUGGUCAAUUUUGAAGUCUUCAAACAGGUACAGUCAUUUAUCUUGGACAUCGAAUCUAAACAAUUUGCUUAAAAACAAAUGAAUAAACAACAAAACCAUCCAAUGACAAUUACUGAUUUCCUUUAAGUAUCCUAGCAAGAAAAUUAAACUUACUUCUAAGAAUCCUUCACCUUUAUAGCACCUCUCAGGCAAUUAUUGCACAUCCAGUUUAGAGAGGAUACGUGGCUUAUUUUCUUUGGCAUCCAUAGUAAUAAUCAGUUGCAUUUGAAAUUGUGGCCAAGACAAAACUCUCAUGUGUUCUGCAUAGGUCGUGUCAUCUGCGUAUCUGAGGUUAUUAAUAUUUCUUUUAUAUAUUGUUUCUUUUUUAACAUCAAGUAAAUGUCUAAAUAGCACAAAAUUCAAUUCUCCAUAUUCUUACUCCUGUCUUUCACGACGUUCAUCUUAUGUUCAAUCAGUAGACACCAGCUGUUUCUGAAUAGUUUUUCCUUUCAUUAAAUUUAUGGAAAUUACACCAUAUACUUCUCAAAAUCCAACUUAAUCUCAUCGUUCACAAAUGUGUCUUUCAUGUUCUAAUUAAUGAAAGUAUGAGAAACAGAUCUUUUAGGGAAUUAAACUAUUCUAUCUAGGGGAGCAAGAAUGCAAUAGAAAGUCACAAGAAAUACACUUGAAAGAUUUUAAAAAAUACCAUAUCAGAAAGGGAGUGAUAUAUAUUAUGCUAAGGAAGUUGGACUUCCUAUGAUCCCAAGAAGAGUAUUUCAUAUUAGAUAAGAUCAUAGACUUCAGAUUCAGAUCAACCUAGAGUCUAAUUCCUCAGGCAAGUUGUUGAACUUCUAAAAGGUAAAGUUUUCAAAUCAAUAGUGAGUGGAAUGACAGUUUCAGGUGCCUAGGGUGGCAGGUGAUAAGUGAGUUACCACACGUAGCAUACUUGGCAGAGUACCUGGCACCCAGCAAAACUCAGUCCAUGUUUACCCACUGAUAUAUUAAUGAUGAGUCUACUCAUGGAGUGUGGGUAAAACACAACAAUAUCUUUAUUCCUUUAUUCAUCUUGCCUGUACCAUGUAGCAGUUCUUUCCUUGGUCCUGGUUUAAAACUCCAGAGUGUGCUAUAACCUUUUUGGUCAUUUACAAAUGGUAAAAGUGUCCACUUUUAGUAAUAAAGUAUUUUCACAUUAGUAAAUAAAAUGCCCACUGUCGAGUGACACUUGAUUUACAUGUAAAGAUUCUGUGUUUCCUGAGCUUCAGCCUGCUCCCGUCUGAGACCUUGCAGUGGCGAUUUGGUUGAGCUGAGUCCCUGCUUUCCACCUUGUGCAUGUUCCUCUGUGCCUCUAGCUUGAUAAGUGCAAUUUCAGAACUUGCCAGGGCAAACCUG
rnacentral:lncRNA from 1 species